ACCAAAUCUAUAUCCAAAUGAAACCAUAUUUAAAAACCCAACCCAAAGUAAAAUUUUAGAACCGGUGGCCCAUUUAUCAAAACCAAAAGAAAACCAUAAACCAAUAAUUAAUUUGGAUCAGCUUAUUGGAUACCCAAUUUGAGACUCUCAACUCUCUCUUCUCUUGCGCUCAACUCUCUCUUCUCUGUAGCUGUCACAAAUUCAACUGCUAAACCCUAAUUCCCAAAAUGUUAACACCACCCUUCUCCCAAUUCUCCUUCACCGUCUCCAUCUCCGAUUCUCACUACACUUUCUCUCUCAUUCCAUCCAAUCUUUGAUUCUCCUUCACCUUCGCCGUGUCGGAAACUUCUUGAAGAUUCAAGAUGACUAAUGGAAGCUAUGCAACAUCCGAGAAUACGGUUUCAACCCCUCCAGCUACCGUCUCUAAUGAAAUGCCACCUCCUCACACUAAGAAGCGAAAGAAUCGUUCAGAGGCUUGGAAUCAUUUCAUUGUAUCGUCAGAAGAAGAACAAAAAGCUUCGUGCAAAUAUUGUGACACAAAGAUUAAGUAUAACAGAUAGAAGUGCUUUUGUGCUGGUUCUGGUUCUUCAUGACCUGUUCCAUGCUUCUGUUGUUAUGAAUGAAUGAAUGAGUAUAGUCACUACAAGUAAUAUCUUGGAAAAGCGAACUCAUACAAAUUCCCGCACUAGGAGGACUAUGCGUACCUACGGGGGUUCAAGAUAAAUGCUGCUCAAGUAAUAGAUGAGUUGUGUUACAGCUCUGCUUCAAGCUUAUCAAAUAAGUUCUGAGGGUUUCUUGGCCUGCAACAAAUUCAAAAUUCCAGUGUUUUAUGAGGUGAUUCAUUAUUAUAGAUCACUUCCUUUACUGAAGUUUGGCUAUCCUCAUGUUAAAUAGAAACAUGAAGAUAUGGAAAGUAAAAACAAGAAGUGGUUAUUGUACCUUUUUUAGAUAUUCUUUUGUGAAGUUUCAGUGCUGCCAUGCAGGCCUUUUUGGCAUCUAGAUUUCCAUUUGUGUCAUUCAAUAUCUAAGAAUUGAAUCAAAUGGCCAAAGUUAAUAUACAUGAACACAGAAAGCUUAGUUUUUUUUUUUAUAACAAAUAUCAUUUUAAUAUAAAUCAACAUUCUGGUUACUGGAAA